rnacentral:ncRNA from 4 species
UUCCAGUCCAUGUACCAUCAGUGUGUAUUUAUCCAAGGACUGCUGGAUGCAAGGACUGGAUCC